rnacentral:rRNA from 1 species
UGGGGAAUUUUGGACAAUGGGCGAAAGCCUGAUCCAGCAAUGCCGCGUGUGUGAAGAAGGCCUUCGGGUUGUAAAGCACUUUUGUCCGGAAAGAAAUGGCUCUGGUUAAUACCUGGGGUCGAUGACGCUACCGGAAGAAUAAGGACCGGCUAACUACGUGCCAGCAGCCGCGGUAAUACGUAGGGUCCAAGCGUUAAUCGGAAUUACUGGGCGUAAAGCGUGCGCAGGCGGUUGUGCAAGACCGAUGUGAAAUCCCCGAGCUUAACUUGGGAAUUGCAUUGGUGACUGCACGGCUAGAGUGUGUCAGAGGGGGGUAGAAUUCCACGUGUAGCAGUGAAAUGCGUAGAGAUGUGGAGGAAUACCGAUGGCGAAGGCAGCCCCCUGGGAUAACACUGACGCUCAUGCACGAAAGCGUGGGGAGCAAACAGG